AGAGCCAUAUAGAGUGAGAGUUGCGACAACUCCAUUGACUCCAAUGGAACGCUUUUUUUACAGCAAUGGCGGCUCGUGGAGCCUCUCAAUAGUUCCCGGAAGUAGCAGCAAACCUAUGCCGCGCCAUAGAGAUGCAGCAGAACAAACCGUUUGCGACGCACUUUUAACAGACCCAGGUAACUGGCUGAUGGUUCACAGGAAUGCUGACUGGCUGCUGACUGACUUGCUGCUGGUUGACUGGGCAGUGUCACCUGUCCCUGUCUCUCCUCUCUAGCCAUGUCCUUUUUCUUCACUCUCACUUUACCUUCUCUGAGUGUCCUCGUUCUUUUUUCCUCAACCUUUGAAACUGAUAGAGGUCUAGGGGUGCAUCGUGGAGCAGGGCCCUCCUCUUUUUGACCACAGGACGAUGUACAAAGAUUGUGGGAAUAGCAUCUGGUCUCAGCCUACUCUUGAAUUUUUUGGUCAUGACAAAUUGCUUUGCCGCAAUUUGUCUGCAUACUGACUUCAGUUUAGUUUCCACACACACCUUUUUUUUGUCUACCCACAUACAGUACAUAUCACAUGGUGGUUAAAUGCACAGUUAUAGGUAACACUGAUGACUCCCUGCAAUGUCUCACCAUGAGUCUCAGCUCCCUGGGUUUUGCAAGGCUUUGCUUGUUCCUUAUUUCUAGGAAAACAUUGUCAAUGUAAAAAAGUGCAAAUAAAUGUAAGUAUAAUUACCUAACAAUUUUUUGUUGUUGUAAUUUUUAUUUGUAUUUAGAUUGCUCCUGCUGACUUGAGCCAACCAUUAUUUUCUCCUCUCUAUGUCAGCGGGGAAGCCAUACAUUCGCACACCUUUCUCUGACUGAGUGGAGCAUCCCCAUGCAGCACAGUAAACCAUGGUGGAGACUAUGCAAGGACAACAUUAAAGAAAGGACACAUACAAAAUGCUUGUCAUGCUAUUAAAUUUAUUAGAAAUGUAUUCAUGAAUUGCUGUAAAUAGUUAAUUGUAUAAUUACAACUUAAAAUAACUGUUUUCUGUUUUAAAAUGGAAUAUACUCCUGUGAUGCCAA